rnacentral:sRNA from 1 species
GACCUGGUUUCCUGUGGAUCACAGUCCUGCCCUGAUUCCUUCUCCUAAGACAUUCUCACCCUGAUACGUCAACAUGGCCUGUGUCUGCUUCCUGAGUGAGGGUAACAGACCCCCUCAGCUUGCUUUGGGUGGAGAGUCAGUAACUCCUGUGGUGAGUGGCUCUGUCUCAUUUCUAGGUUACAGGCCUGGAUGGCAACUACAGAAUCACAUGCCACACAGUGAUGGAGGUGCUGCGAGAGCACAAGGACAGUGUCAUGGCCGUGCUGGAAGCCUUUGUCUAUGACCCCUUGCUGAACUGGAGGCUGAUGGACACAAAUACCAAAGGCAACAAGCGAUCCAGAACGAGGACGGAUUCCUACUCUGCUGGCCAGUCAGUCGAAAUUUUGGACGGUGUGGAACUUGGAGAGCCAGCCCAUAAGAAAACGGGGACCACAGUGCCAGAAUCUAUUCAUUCUUUCAUUGGAGAUGGUUUGGUGAAACCAGAGGCCCUAAAUAAGAAAGCUAUCCAGAUUAUUAACAGGGUUCGAGAUAAGCUCACUGGUCGGGACUUCUCUCAUGAUGACACUUUGGAUGUUCCAACGCAAGUUGAGCUGCUCAUCAAACAAGCGACAUCCCAUGAAAACCUCUGCCAGUGCUAUAUUGGCUGGUGCCCUUUCUGGUAACUGGAGGCCCAGAUGUACCCGUCACGUUUUUUCUGAGGCUUUUGUACUUUAGUAAAUGCUUCCACUAAACUGAAACCAUGGUGAGAAAGUUUGACUUUGUUAAAUAUUUUGAAAUGUAAAUGAAAAGAACUACUGUAUAUUAAAAGUUGGUUUGAACCAACUUUCUAGCUGCUGUUGAAGAAUAUAUUGUCAGAAACACA